GACGAACGCUGGCGGCGUGCUUAACACAUGCAAGUCGAACGGAAAGGCCCUGCUUUUGUGGGGUGCUCGAGUGGCGAACGGGUGAGUAACACGUGAGUAACCUGCCCUUGACUUUGGGAUAACUUCAGGAAACUGGGGCUAAUACCGGAUAGGAGCUCCUGCUGCAUGGUGGGGGUUGGAAAGUUUCGGCGGUUGGGGAUGGACUCGCGGCUUAUCAGCUUGUUGGUGGGGUAGUGGCUUACCAAGGCUUUGACGGGUAGCCGGCCUGAGAGGGUGACCGGCCACAUUGGGACUGAGAUACGGCCAAGACUCCUACGGGAGGCAGCAGUGGGGAAUAUUGCACAAUGGGCGGAAGCCUGAUGCAGCAACGCCGCGUGCGGGAUGACGGCCUUCGGGUUGUAAACCGCUUUCGCCGGUGACGAAGCGGGAGUGACGGUAAUGGGUAAAGAAGCACCGGCUAACUACGUG
rnacentral:rRNA from 1 species